AACGAACGCUGGCGGCAUGCCUAACACAUGCAAGUCGAACGAGACCUUCGGGUCUAGUGGCGCACGGGUGCGUAACGCGUGGGAAUCUGCCCUUGGGUUCGGAAUAACAGUUGGAAACGACUGCUAAUACCGAAUGAUGACUCCGGUCCAAAGAUUUAUCGCCCAGGGAUGAGCCCGCGUCGGAUUAGCUAGUUGGUGAG
rnacentral:rRNA from 1 species